rfam:Streptomyces violaceusniger Tu 4113, complete genome.
GGUCACGAGUGACAGCGACUACGGCCCCGGCCCGCUGUCCGGCAACCCUCCGUCCGUGGCGGGGUGCCCCGGGUGAUGACCAGGCCGCCAGGCAGCGAGGCCGGCGGCAAGCGCGGACC